GGGCCCGCACAAGCGGUGGAGCAUGUGGUUUAAUUCGAUGCAACGCGAAAAACCUUACCUACUCUUGACAUACUUGGAAGCUCUUGUAAUGAGAGUGUGCCUUUUGGAACCAAGAUACAGGUGCUGCAUGGCUGUCGUCAGCUCGUGUCGUGAGAUGUUCCGUUAAGUCGGAUAACGAGCGCAACCCUUACCCUUAUUUGCCAGCGAUUCGGUCGGGAACUAUAAGGGGACUGCCGGUGAUAAACCGGAGGAAGGUGAGGACGACGUCAAGUCAUCAUGGCCCUUACGAGUAGGGCUACACACGUGCUACAAUGGGGAAUACAGACGGACGCUAAGCCGCGAGGUGGUGCUAAUCCUUAAAACCGGUCUCAGUUCGGAUCGGGGUCUGCAACUCGGCCCCGUGAAGCUGGAAUC
rnacentral:rRNA from 1 species